UAAAUUUUAUAGACAGAAUUACUAAUACUGGAAUAGUAAUUAAUUUUGAACAUAUUAAAGGUAGUGAUAAUCAGAUAGCAGAUACUUUAAGUAGAAUAAUUAAAAAUAAAGAUUAUGACUAACUAUUUAUUGCAGAUGCAAAGACCAAGAGGUCACAGACCAGGAUUGCCAAUUGUUUGGCAGUUCAAGUUCCCAGACAAAUAUACUCCAGACUCAUGAUAAGUUAAGAUUUGGUAAUAUAGAAUUACUUUGUUUUCCUAAUAGCAAUAUUAGUUUUAAGACACUUUCUCAUAUUUCAGUAACAAAGGCAGAAAAAUGCAUCUUAGAUAAUUUAUGGAUUUCUUAUAAUAAGAACCCAAAAGACCAAAAAUAUUUUUUAGCAUGUUUAAAUGCUCUUUCAGAACAUUUUAGUCAAGACCAUAAACAAUUCAAAUGUUAUGUUGUUUUAAAUGGAAGACUUCCAGGAAUUUACCAUACCUGGUUAGAAGUUUCAGAUUGUAUUAAGAAUUUUCCAAAUCCUCUUUACAAAGGAUUUUAUUCAAUUUCAGAAGCAUUAGAAGAAUGUAGAAAAUUUAUUGGCCCAAAUUAUUUUAUUGCUCCUUCUUUAAAAAAUGUUUCAGAUCAACCUUUAGAUUAUUCUUCAAGAUUUUGUGAUCAUUGUGAAUGUAUGACAAAGAAUUUUAAAAUUUUAAAUGAAUCAAACCAGACUUUGCAACAAGAGAAAUUAGUUUUACAAAAGAAGAUCUCUGAUUUAGAACAAGAGAUUAUUAAUUUAAAAAUUUUAAACCCUAUUUCUCAGACAGAAGCAGGUACUAUAGAGCCCAAGAAUUCUAUAGCUAGUCCAGCUCAAACGGAAGCUGGUAAAGACUUAUCAAAUCCGUUUAUAGUUCUGGGCUUACCAAAAGCUCAACAGACUCAGAGGACUGUUGAUUCCUCUACUUCUCAGACUCAACAGGCUGAAAAUCCUGUUACAGUUAAUUUAAAAGAACAGACACAGCAGACUGAUAAUUCUGCUACUAGACUUAUUAGCCCAAUAGAUCUUAAACAGAAAAG
rnacentral:lncRNA from 1 species